rnacentral:pre_miRNA from 1 species
UAGCAGCGGGAACAGUACUGCAGCAGGUGAUUGGUGCUCUGGGGUAUUGUUCCUGCUGCCUGG